rnacentral:rRNA from 1 species
UACGAAGGGGGCUAGCGUUGCUCGGAAUCACUGGGCGUAAAGGGUGCGUAGGCGGGUUUUUAAGUCAGAGGUGAAAUCCUGGAGCUCAACUCCAGAACUGCCUUUGAUACUGGAAGUCUUGAGUAUGGGAGAGGUGAGUGGAACUGCGAGUGUAGAGGUGAAAUUCGUAGAUAUUCGCAAGAACACCAGUGGCGAAGGCGGCUCACUGGCCCGGUACUGACGCUGAGGUGCGAAAGCGUGGGAGCAACAGG